rnacentral:rRNA from 1 species
AUUGAACGCUGGCGGCAUGCCUUACACAUGCAAGUCGAACGGCAGCACGGGAGCAAUCCUGGUGGCGAGUGGCGAACGGGUGAGUAAUGCAUCGGAACGUGCCUAGUAGUGGGGGAUAGCCCGGCGAAAGCCGGAUUAAUACCGCAUAUGACCUGAGGGUGAAAGCGGGGGAUCGUAAGACCUCGCGCUAUUGGAGCGGCCGAUGUCGGAUUAGCUAGUUGGUGGGGUAAAAGCCUACCAAGGCUACGAUCCGUAGCUGGUCUGAGAGGACGACCAGCCACACUGGGACUGAGACACGGCCCAGACUCCUACGGGAGGCAGCAGUGGGGAAUUUUGGACAAUGGGCGCAAGCCUGAUCCAGCCAUGCCGCGUGCGGGAAGAAGGCCUCGGGUUGUAAACCGCUUUUGUCAGGGAAGAAAAGCUCUAAGCUAAUAUCUUGGAGUAAUGACGGUACCUGAAGAAUAAGCACCGGCUAACUACGUGCCAGCAGCCGCGGUAAUACGUAGGGUGCAAGCGUUAAUCGGAAUUACUGGGCGUAAAGCGUGCGCAGGCGGUUCCGCAAGACAGAUGUGAAAUCCCCGGGCUUAACCUGGGAACUGCAUUUGUGACUGCGUAACUAGAGUACGGUAGAGGGGGAUGGAAUUCCGCGUGUAGCAGUGAAAUGCGUAGAUAUGCGGAGGAACACCGAUGGCGAAGGCAGUCUCCUGGACCUGUACUGACGCUCAUGCACGAAAGCGUGGGGGAGCAAACAGGAU